UAAGUGAAGAGUUUGAUCCUGGCUCAGAGUGAACGCUGGCGGCAGGCCUAACACAUGCAAGUCGAACGGCAGCACAGGGGAGCUUGCUCCCCGGGUGGCGAGUGGCGGACGGGUGAGGAAUACAUCGGAAUCUGCCCAGUCGUGGGGGAUAACCUCGGGAAACCGGGACUAAUACCGCAUACGACCUUCGGGUGAAAGCAGGGGAUCGAAAGACCUUGCGCGAUUGGAUGAGCCGAUGUCGGAUUAGCUAGUUGGCGGGGUAAAGGCCCACCAAGGCGACGAUCCGUAGCUGGUCUGAGAGGAUGAUCAGCCACACUGGAACUGAGACACGGUCCAGACUCCUAC
rnacentral:rRNA from 1 species